ensembl:misc_RNA 7SK 7SK RNA
UGAUGUGAGAGCGGUUUGCCUGUGACCUCUGUCACCUCACUGACUGUCAGGGUUAUUUGGCUGAUAUGGCUGGCUGGGUGUCCCCUUCCUACGUCAUGCUCUGUGUGUGUCCCUCGGGAAGAGCGGCCCUCCCAUGGACGAGGACAUUUCCUCAGGCGAGGGUGUAUGGACCACACUACCCUUCCAGAACCACCAGGCAGCUCUCAAAAUGAGAACUCUGGAGUCUGGACUGGAGUUUAUGAUUUCCAAACCAAAAGUU